rnacentral:rRNA from 1 species
CCUGGGGAGUACGGCCGCAAGGUUAAAACUCAAAUGAAUUGACGGGGGCCCGCACAAGCGGUGGAGCAUGUGGUUUAAUUCGAUGCAACGCGAAGAACCUUACCUACUCUUGACAUCCAGAGAACUUAGCAGAGAUGCUUUGGUGCCUUCGGGAACUCUGAGACAGGUGCUGCAUGGCUGUCGUCAGCUCGUGUUGUGAAAUGUUGGGUUAAGUCCCGCAACGAGCGCAACCCUUAUCCUUUGUUGCCAGCGGUUCGGCCGGGAACUCAAAGGAGACUGCCAGUGAUAAACUGGAGGAAGGUGGGGAUGACGUCAAGUCAUCAUGGCCCUUACGAGUAGGGCUACACACGUGCUACAAUGGCGCAUACAAAGAGAAGCGACCUCGCGAGAGCAAGCGGACCUCAUAAAGUGCGUCGUAGUCCGGAUUGGAGUCUGCAACUCGACUCCAUGAAGUCGGAAUCGCUAGUAAUCGUAGAUCAGAAUGCUACGGUGAAUACGUUCCCGGGCCUUGUACACACCGCCCGUCACACCAUGGGAGUGGGUUGCAAAAGAAGUAGGUAGCUUAACCUUCGGGAGGGCGCUUACCACUUUGUGAUUCAUGACUGGGGUGAAGUCGUAACAAGGUAACCGUAGGGGAACCUGCGGUUGGAUCACCUCCUUACCUUAAAGAA